ensembl:lncRNA
AAGUUUUAUACCUUUAUUAAAAAUAAACUCCAAGGUUCAUUUGCAAAUCGCCAACUCUUUUUAUGCCUACAUCCAAACCAGAACCAUUUGUGAGAAUCUUAAAACUUCGCUGGAUAACAAAUCUGUGUCAUCUGCGCUGUUCUAAUCCAACUGCAGUGACCUGUUUACAAUUCAGACCCAAACUGUCCAAGCUUAGGAACACUGGAAAGGCAUUUGCUUAGAGGUAGGAUUUGGCUGCACUGAAAAUGAAACUCACUACGGCAAAAAGAAAGUGUUGAUCAUUUCAAAUAAGAAAAUCCAGGGUUAGAUGCUGUCUCUGAAGACGACUGGAAUUCUGCCUGCCUUUUGUAGGUGCUGAAUUUCAUUCCCAGUCUCCGCAUAGAAGUGGAAGCUGAAGUUACGGAGUGGGAUUUUGACUGCACGCAGAGUAGCCCAAAACAGCACGGAAUUCUGCUUGCUCUAAAGCAGUCACAUUUUCAGAGACUCCUGUUUUCUCCUGUGGUUUCCCAGCUGAGAGGUAGCAAAUGCUAGAUUUUUUUUGUUUCCAAGAGAAGGAGUACUUAAAUUCCCAAAGGAAUGCUACUAAGCUGAUCCCAGAGCAUUUACUGUCUGGCUGAGGCAGUUUCCACCCCUGCACCACAUCAUGAGCUACGAAAGGUUUGCCUGGUAUCAUAGGAGAAGCUGGACAGAUGCCAAACCCAAUCCGUUCAGAGAAGCUGAGAUUCCAGUCUCACGUUGGUAGCGGUUACUGCUCUCAGGCAAUAGGGCUCGAUGAAAUACACAGUACAGUCUUGAAAGAAAAAUACUAAAUCUGUCUAAAUUACCAAUCAGGCAAAGAAGCUGGUAAGAUAUCUCCAUCACCGGAGCGCCCUUUGAAUGCAGACGUGAAGUGCAGAUGAAUUUGUGUCCACAGAGGAAUACCAGUGCCUACCCUGAGCUCAGGAGCAGUCAGCAGGGACAGACUGGCACAUAUGGUGUCCCAGCUGGAUGUGAGCGGGCAGCAGGAGGCCGUCAGACUUCCACACCCAGCAGUAUGCCUCAUCCUGCAGGUUUAGGUCACCCCCUGUGACCCAUCUGAUCCUUGAUUUCCCUGGUACGGGGCAGGGGAGGCACAAAGAGUUCUGUGAUGUGGUUUUCUGCCCAGACCACCAAACUCCAUACACAAGAAACUACUGUUAGGGCAAACCUGGGAACACAGUCACCAGGGUCGGACCCCUGACUGCCGCUGAACUGGGUAGACUGGACAAAGUGACCGAGAGGGGAAAGAAAAUGUGUUUCUAUUCUCUCUCCCCAGCCAGCCCUUCCUCUUAACUCUUAUGCCUGCAGAUGUUUUCUUGUGUUAAAUACAUACCUGCUAAGGAAACGGACCCCACGAAAGGAUAAUAAAUGAGCUCAAUACAUACUGCCAUUUCAUGGGUUUCUGCUAUGAGCUGCCAUAAAUUUAAAGCCAAUUAUGUCCUGUUUAAAUAUUUAACACUGUAAAGCUAGCCCAUUUUACAUCCUGUCAAAGAUAAUUGAAACACCCAAUUUAUUCCUUUAAUAGGCAGGCAGAGCAUCCACCAGGUGGAAAAUACCGUCAGGAUUUCACUGUUUGCAAGGGGAUAAUGGAAAUAUCCCCAUUCCUCAGACCGUAGCAAGAUGCUCUUUGACACUGGAAGCUUGAGCUGACAUGCGUGCUGCUGGCUGCUAGGUAGCAGCUAGCUUUUAUUUGCACAGCUGCAACACUAGAGGACCCCACAGAGCACAUUUUGCAUGCAGGUGCAACAGCAAUUUCAGUUGCAUCCCGAAGCUCUGCAAAGCAGCAGCCAUUGAGGCACUCCUUGGAGGUGAUGAAAUCCAGUGGCUGUGACUAAGCUUUGUAAAUAUUAUUAAGCUAUUAAAUCCAGGGGCUGUGCCACGAGGCAACAGCGAGGUAUGGAAGAUGGCCCUGAGCUGAUAACACCAGGAGAAAUAUUUCAGUCAAUCCCCGAGGUGCUGGGCUGGGAGCUUUGCUCUAAAGCAUCCAAGCUGCUGACCACUGGAGCAACGACUGUAGGCGCCGUGUUCACGUCCAUGUCACCGCUUCCCUGAGGACUGCUUUCCUGAGAUGCUCCUUGUGUCACCAGCUGAGGCUGUGAGGAGAGAUACACCAGAAUGAAAACACCCACGUGGCAUCAGUGCCAGGAGACAAAAUUGCAAAUGCACGAGGUAGAUGCAAAGCACGGUGCUUUUAAUCAAUGCUAUUUACACCAGGCUGUGCAGUGCUGCAGGUGUGCCCACUUGCCAUCCCUUCCUAUAGCCUAAUGGUUGGCAACCCUGCACGCAGCAGGGGGGUUGAAACUAGUUGAUCAUUAUGGUCUCUUUCUACCCACGUCAUUCUGUGAUUCUAUGAUUCCAAUGCACACGAG